GACGAACGCUGGCGGCGUGCCUAAUACAUGCAAGUAGAACGCUGAAGGAGGAGCUUGCUCUUCUGGAUGAGUUGCGAACGGGUGAGUAACGCGUAGGUAACCUGCCUGGUAGCGGGGGAUAACUAUUGGAAACGAUAGCUAAUACCGCAUAACAGUAGAUGUUGCAUGACAUUUACUUAAAAGGUGCAAUUGCAUCACUACCAGAUGGACCUGCGUUGUAUUAGCUAGUUGGUGGGGUAACGGCUCACCAAGGCGACGAUACAUAGCCGACCUGAGAGGGUGAUCGGCCACACUGGGACUGAGACACGGCCCAGACUCCUACGGGAGGCAGCAGUAGGGAAUCUUCGGCAAGGGACGGAAGUCUGACCGAGCAACGCCGCGGGAGUGAAGAAGGGUUUCGGAUCGUAAAGCUCUGUUGUAAGAGAAGAACGAGUGUGAGAGUGGAAAGUUCACACUGUGACGGUAUCUUACCAGAAAGGGACGGCUAACUACGUG
rnacentral:rRNA from 1 species